rnacentral:rRNA from 1 species
CCUACGGGAGGCAGCAGUGGGGGAUAUUGCACAAUGGGCGGAACCCUGAUGCAGCGACGCCGCGUGGGUGAAGAAGCGCCUCGGCGCGUAAAGCCCUGUCAGCAGGGAAGAAAAUUACGGUACCUGAAGAAGAAGCCCCGGCCAACUACGUGCCAGCAGCCGCGGUAAUACGGAGGGGGCAAGCGUUAUCCGGAUUUACUGGGUGUAAGGGGGGCGCAGACGGCGAUGCAAGCCAGGAGUGAAAGCCCGGGGCCCAAGCCCGGGACUGCUCUUGAAACUGCGUGGCUGGAGUGCAGGAGGGGCAGGCGGAAUUCGUGGUGUAGCGGUGAAAUGCGUAGAUAUCAGGAGGAACACCGGUGGCGAAGGCAGCCUGCUGGACUGCAACUGACGUUGAGGCCCGAAAGCGUGGGGAGCAAACAGGAUUAGAUACCCCAGUAGUC